CCUUGUUCCCUCCCCUCUUGCGUCACCUGCCUUAUCCGAACAACACAGCUGUUUCUUCCUCCCAUUUCCCGUUCCCGCACGUCUCUAAUUUUUCGCCAUUUCUUCUCUGCCAGGCAACCGAACCUCUCUCCCUCAAAGCUUCUGCCCAUUUCACUACAGCUUAACCUCCUUUCACUUUCUCUCGAUGCAGCUCCUCCCUUUGAGCCCUGCAGUCCCACCGAUCCUCUACCACCAACUCUUGUCGCCACACGUCCUCCACCAUCUUUUGUCUCCGCCAGUCAACCCUCCCAGCAGUGAAGCCCUGUCGUUGACGGAGGUAGCCCACGAUCUCCACUCACCAAGCAGCAUUCAUCAUCCCACUUCUCUAUCUCAAGCUGCCACACUCCCGAAACUAGCCCCACGAUCCCAGGCGUUGAAGUCGACCCCACCAACAACCGACUCCUUUUUCUCUCUCUCGCUGCAACGCUAGCUCCACCCACUUUCCCCCAUCUUCGCUUCAUGGAUCUCAGCCCAGCAGCAGCACUUGCUGCCUCCCACCGAGUCAACAAACCAACGAAGCUCCCCCUUCACGUUGACGAAAGGAGCCCCUUCCUAUUUCCCAUUCGAUCAGCAGUCUCGAGAACCGCAUCACCGCUCCAUCUCCCUGCUGCUACCACGAAGACACCAACCAGCUCACCGAUUUGCUUCAGCCGAGUAGUUGACCCGCCAGCCCCAUUUCAUCAUUUGCCCAAGUAGCGAAGCCCCGCCUGAAGUUGCUCCUUCGCCAUUGCUCCUUACGCCAUCAACGGCCCAGCCCAUCUUCAGCAACUACAGCCUAGUCAAGCCGAGCCCAGCAACCCGCUCAUCUCAGCCCCAAGUCCAUAACUGAGCCGAGCAAUUCGUUGUGGGCUUGCAAGGCUUUUUCGGCCCGAUCCAAGCUCCCAUUGGCAUCAUCGUAGGCUCGAGUUUCAACCGCCAUUGCGCCGUCAUCGCAGUGAACCGGUUUUCACGCUAAACCGGUCCUUAAAUAGGGGUUGGUGGAGGACCCGAAGCCCGGAGUCUGUGGAGGUGGAGUUUGAAGGAUCGGCGUGUGUGUCCGACUAGUUUGUCGUAGGACAGCUUCUUUUUUAGAGCCGAUAUUUUGUAAACUUUUGCCCAUACUCUUUUAUACCUAAACCUCGUUGUUUAUAUAAAAUUGGCUUUUGUGAAAUGUUACCUUACUUUUCUAUCCCAUGAUGUUUGCUAUCAGGGGUUUAUUGUUUCGCUUCCGCAUAUGCUUAAACGAACUAGGUCAGCGACGCAUUCUGGGAACAUCGCAUUUGUAUCGACCACCAAGGGAUGGGCGCGCACUCAAGGAUCGGGGCGUGACACAAUCUAGAGCAAAGAUGGCUGAGCAAACUGGGAUGUGAGGUCAUGUUGCUAUAUUGAGGAUCAGUGAAGCAAUUCUUUACUGCACUCCAACAUAUGUCAUCCCAGAUUGAAUCCCUUCGAUGAAGCCCAUUCCUGCAUCCACUCGACCCCAAACUGAGGUUGCGUUGCCAAGACACACAAGCGAUAAGAGCAAAAAAGCCAUCAAUGACAACAUGCAAGCAUUGUUUCAAGACCCUCCUCAAGCCACUGACAAGAAAGCCAAGUCUGCUAAUGUGCCAAAAAUCGAGCAUGAUAAGCGCUUUGCAAAGCUCAAGGGAAAAAUGAGGAACGAAUAAUAAAGAGUUACCCCUCAAAGCUAAUGCUCACAAUGCUACAAUGUUUCAUGAGCUCAAUCCGAUCCUUUGUCAUUGCCAUUCCUUUUGGUGAGAGAUCCUCAGUGGAAACUGGGUUAGAACGCCGGCCUCCUCGCCGUGGCUUAUUGUGGAAUAGUGGUAACUAGGCUAUCAUACUAUCUACAGUCCUGGGUCAUUGAGAUUAGGGGGCCAGUUUUCCUAGCCAUGUCCACACCGCUGGCUCCCAUGAUCACGAUUCUCUUUUCUGCAUUCGUUCUACUUGAGACCCUCACUUUUGAAAGUAUUCUUGGUGGGGUUUUGCUAGUUGGAGGGCUGUACAGUGUUUUGUGGGGGAAACCCAGGGAGCAAAUGCUGGACAGAGGAAGUUGCAAGCCUCCUGAGGUUCACCCAGAAAUCACCAGACAUACUUGUCUGAAUAUCCCAUUUUGGGACAGAAAAGGUUCCUAAUUAGGCAGAGAUUAUAGUUAAGGUAGCCUGAUUUAUUGCAAUAAAAAUAUAUAGUUGAGAUUCACAGUUUUGUAAAAUUUCUGUUAUUAUGGUGUUCCAAGGGAUCGAAGUGGAAAAAUCAGUCAAUUUUUAGUGAAAAAAGUAAUGCUACAACCCUUGAAAACUUUCACUUCAAUGACUUGAGAAUUGGUGGAACUACAACCAACUAUUCUAAAAUUUUAAGCUAUAAGAUUAAAGCGUGAUUUAUUAUUUAAAUAUUCUAAAAAUGAAAUCCAAGCAAAAGGUAAGCAAGAACUGAAAAGGGAAAUAUUUAAAGUAAACCAAAAUUAUAAGUUCUUAUCACAAACUGCAAUCGAUGUGAAGAAUCAGAGCAUGUGUUGUCGUCGAAAACUACUCCUUAUAAACUCAAACCGUAACUAUGUAACUGCCCUACAUUAUUUCCUCGAUCUCACUGGCUUUUUCCUUGAUUUCCGCCCAUCUUCUUUGACUUUUGGACGAGUUUUUUGUUGUCGCCACAUCUAUUUUCUGUGUUUUAUCAGACUCUUCUUGAGCAGCAUCUCCAGCAGCAGAAGCAAGAUGCUGCUCAACUAUGACUUUUGAUUUUCCGCUUUGUUUUGGUUCACCCGCUAAAUUGUUGUUUGGAAUAUCUCCUUCAUGUUUCACUUGUUUCGCCAGCUUUAGUCAGAUGCCUUGUCUAUUAUAGCCGAUUUCUUGCCCUCCUGAUUUUGAACAGCACAUAAUUAUGAUUUUUAGACAUUGCAGACACGUAAUCUGGCUUGCCAAGCAACUAUAUCCCACCUGGUGGGCUUUUUGUGGAAUCCAUUCAUGAUUGUGAUUAAUGUCCCAAAUAUUAGGCCUUUUUUUCAGUCUUCUUGGUGGCAUUUUGCUAGUUGGAGAGCCGUAUAGUGCUUUGUCGGAGAAAAGCAGGGAACAAAGGCUGGAUCAGGGAAGUUGCGAGCCACCGGAGGUUGACCAAGACUUCUCACAAGUCAAACAAGAGAAGGUUUCUCAUAUAUCAGCAGACAUAGUUGUCUGAAUCUCUCCCUCUCUCUGAGGAAAAAGGUUCCCAAUUAGGCAGAGAUUGCAGUUAAGGUAGUCUAAUCAAUUGCAAUAGAAAUAUAUACUUGAAAUUCAGAGUUGUGAGGAAAGGGUGCCCUCCCCUCUCUGGCUUUGUCCUUGAUUGUUGUAUAUUUGAAUUAUAUAGUGUAUUGAAGCGCGUGGGCAUUGCUGCUUUUGUC